rnacentral:lncRNA from 1 species
AUUAAUCCCUAUGGGUUGCAGUGAGUCCUCCCAGCCGCUAGGGGGCGCUCUAUGUGUCUCUAUGUGUCCCUAUGUAACCGCUCUAUCUCCCCCUUUACCCCCAGCUCUGUCCCCCGCCCUCAAUUUGGCCUCCCAGUGUUUGACUCUCUCCGGCCUCUUCAGCCCUCAGACCAUGUAACAUGGCUCCGCCCAUCCCUCGAAGCCCCGCCCCCUUCACCUGAUCCACCAAUCACAAUCGCCGCCUCCGGGAUGGGACAACGCCAUUGGACGAGAAAGAUUUUCUUUAUUAUUUGGGGUUUUUUUGGUUUUUUUUUUUGCUUUUUCUUGUGUUUUUUCGGUUCAAAUGGGGAAAAUUUGGGGGGGGGGGGGGAAAUUUGGGCUGUUUUGGGAUUUUUUUCUCCAUUUUUCCCUUUUUUGGGGUUUUUUUUUUCGUUUCUUUUCUCGAAUGGGAAGAAUAAAAAGACCAAAAUGGCCGACGUGGGUGUCAUUGCCCUUUUAAUUGGCGCCGGGGUGGGGACCGCUCUUAAAGGGGCAACGCACUGCCUGUAUUAAUGCAGUACACCACUGUGACGAUUGUUGCCUAUUGCCCUUUUAAGUGGGACUGAAGUGGGGCCCACUCUUAAAGGGGCGAUGCACUGUAUGUAUUAUAACCACCACGGCUCUUGGGCCAUUGAUCUCAUUGCCCUUUUAAGUAGCGACGAGGUGGGGACCGCUCUUAAAGGGGCAAUGCUCUUUCUUAAAGCGGCGAUGCUGGUGGGGCCGCAGUCUGUUCUUAAAGGGGCGAUGCCAUAUGGAAGUGCCACGUCUUCUUAAAGGGGCAACGCUGCCACGUCAAUGCCCCAUCGAAGAAGGUGGGGCCCACCUUCCACUCUUAAAGGGGCAAUGCCACUCUUAAAAGGGCAACGCCACUUUUAAAGGGGCAAUGCCUGUCUUAAAAGGGCAACGCUGCCACGUGAAUGCCCCAUAGAAGCCGGUGGGGCCCACCUUUACACUCUUAAAGGGACAAUGCCACUCUUAAAGGGGCAAUGACGCUCUUAAAGGGGCAAAGCCGCUCUUAAAGGGGCAACGCUGCCACGUCAAUGCCCCAUAGAAGCCGGUGGGCCCACCUUCCUCUCUUAAAAGGGUCACGACGCUCUUAAAGGGGCAACGCUGCCACGUUCGUGCCCAAUAGAAGCUGGUGGGUCCACUUUCCGCUCUUAAAAGGGCAAUGGCACUUUUAAAGGGGCAACGCCGCCCUUAAAGGGGCAACGCUGCCACGUCAAUGCCCCAUAGCCCCAUUAGAAGCUGCUGGGCCCACCUCCCACUCUUAAAGGGGCAAUGGAAAGUUGUAAAGGGACUAGGCCACUUCCCUUGAAGGCAAAUGCCGCUCUAAA